AUUGAACGCUAGCGGGAUGCCUUACACAUGCAAGUCGAACGGAGUGGCGAACGGGUGAGUAAUGUAUCGGAACGUGCCCAGUAGCGGGGGAUAACUACGCGAAAGCGUAGCUAAUACCGCAUACUAUUGGAGCGGCCGAUAUCGGGUUAGCUAGUUGGUGGGGUAACGGCUCACCAAGGCGACGAGCCUGAGCUUCGUUGAGAGGACGACCAGCCAACCGGGGACUGAGACACGGCCCAGACUCCUAUGGGAGGAAGCAGUGGGUAAUUUUGGACACUGGGGGAAACCCUGUGCCAGCCAUCCCGCGUGUGCGAUGCAGGCCUUCGGGUUGUAACGCACUUUUGGCCGGAAAGCGGUACCUGCAGACUCAGCACCGGCUAACUACGUGCCAGCAGCCGCGGUAAUAC
rnacentral:rRNA from 1 species